GACGAACGCUGGCGGCGUGCUUAACACAUGCAAGUCGAACGGAAAGGCCCUGCUUUUGUGGGGUGCUCGAGUGGCGAACGGGUGAGUAACACGUGAGUAACCUGCCCUUGACUUUGGGAUAACUUCAGGAAACUGGGGCUAAUACCGGAUAGGAGCUCCUGCUGCAAGGUGGGGGUUGGAAAGUUUCGGCGGCUGGGGAUGGACUCGCGGCUUAUCAGCUUGUUGGUGGGGUAGUGGCUUACCAAGGCUUUGACGGGUAGCCGGCCUGAGAGGGUGACCGGCCACAUUGGGACUGAGAUACGGCCCAGACUCCUACGGGAGGCAGCAGUGGGGAAUAUUGCACAAUGGGCGGAAGCCUGAUGCAGCAACGCCGCGUGCGGGAUGACGGCCUUCGGGUUGUAAACCGCUUUCGCCUGUGACGAAGCGUGAGUGACGGUAAUGGGUAAAGAAGCACCGGCUAACUACGUG
rnacentral:rRNA from 1 species